UGGUUAGUUAUGGGUAAAAUGCGCAAAUAUUUUAAAUAAGCAAGUGGUUAUAAAAUAUUCAUUGUUGUCGGGGAAUAUUCGUUUGGUCGUGGAAUAUUCUUACUGUCGGGGAAUAUUCGUACGACGGCGCAGCCUUGUGUGGGCCCAUAACGGAAAGCGAUUGGAUGAAGAAAACGACAAGUAUAAGUUGUUUAUAAAUAACGACGCAGUUGUUACCGUUAAUACUGUUGGAAUACCCGAUGGUUAAAACGCAGUAAUACGCGUUGUUGAACAG
rnacentral:lncRNA from 1 species